AGGGCACCACCAGGAGUGGAGCCUGCGGCUUAAUUUGACUCAACACGGGAAAACUCACCCGGCCCGGACACUGGGAGGAUUGACAGAUCGAGAGCUCUUUCUUGAUUCAGUGGGUGGUGGUGCAUGGCCGUUCUUAGUUGGUGGAGCGAUUUGUCUGGUUAAUUCCGAUAACGAACGAGACUCUAGCCUACUAAAUAGACUGUUCAGCUUUAUAGCCGGAAUCACUGGGCGUGUAGCUCUCCGCAAGGGGGGUUGCAUGUUCGGCUCUGGUGACGUUGGCAGUGCUUCUUAGAGGGACAGGCGGCGGUUCAGCCGCACGAAACAGAGCAAUAACAGGUCUGUGAUGCCCUUAGAUGUCCGGGGCUGCACGCGCGCUACACUGAAGUGAUCAGCGUGCAAUUUACGUUUGGUGAUCUGUCAAGAUUGCCCAACCCGUUGAACCUUCUUCGUGAUUGGGAUAGGGGAUUGUAAUUAUUCCCCUUGAACGAGGAAUUCCCAGUAAGCGCAAGUCAUAAGCUU
rnacentral:rRNA from 1 species